GAUCUGUCAAUACAAAGGAGACCUGGGAGCACUGGUGCAUGAAAUAUGCCCAUAUAUGAUGUAUGUUAAAGGGCAGAAUUCACUGUGGUAUAACUGCUUACCUUUUCACCAGUGACACUUAUUAGAACAGGUAAUCUGUGCCAGCCAGCCAUUCAAAUUUAUAUAUAUAUAUAUUUUUAGAAAGCUCUCUUUUGUUUGGAAUGUAUGUGGUGUACCAUCUUUGCUCUUCCUAGUGCCAGAACACGUGAGUGGAAGGGUGUGUCUGAUCAUAAUUAAAAUGUUGUAACUACAAAAAAACCCCUCCCUAACAAUAAUUUAGGUAAAUUAUUUAUUCAGAGUCUUUUGUUCCAGUUAUUUAUAUGUAUAUUGUACAUCUGUACAAAUUCACUGCCUGUUUUAUUUCAGAAAAAUGAAUACAAAAAUAGCAGCUUUUAAAAGCUCUUGUGUAAGCUCAGGAGAAUCUUUGCUGCAAUAUCUAACUGAAAAGGUAAUGAACUGUAAAAUAAGUUGAAAUGAUUGGGGAUUAAAAAUCUCUGGUGUGCAGUGACAGUACAAUCAUAUUCCACAGCAAAGGUUUCUUGUAUUAAGGGUAAUAAAUAAAACUUAUUUUUGUCACCAUGAUUAGUUUUCACCAUCGUAAUGACAGGUUUGACCUUCUUUCUCUUCAGAUGUUGGUAGUCUGUGACCAAGUAGUUGGAAUGCUGGUGGAAGCUUGGAAGCCCACACAUUUAGGAAGGAUUAGAAAUCAUAAAAUGGCAAUUUAUUAAAAUUUGGAAAGAGUUGUUCCAUUAAAUGACAAAAAAAAAACCUCUGCUUGGAAAUAGCCCAGUCUUGAUGCAAGCUAAAAGUACAGUAGCCACUUAGAAACAUAUGAGAGAAGCUGUUGAUCAGUGGUAAAGCCCAUCCAUUUAAUGCAGAAAGGUCCCAGCCUUGAUCCCUAAGAAUUGUUUAAAAGGAACCCAGAUGGCAGGAUCAGGAAAUGAGAUCUAUUGUUGUCACUCAGAGAAGAUCAUACUGGACAAGGUGGAUUAUCUUGACUCGGUAUGAGGCAGCUUUAGCUAUUCCUAUACUUAGCAUCCUUAGACUUGUAAACCUAAAGUAAAUGACAAUGCAAUCAUAUAAAUAUCUACUCAGAAGUAAGUCUCAUUGAUUUUGGUGGCAGUUACUAGAGACCAGUGGGUACAGUAUAGGACUCAGCCUUAAUCACAGAUCCAGAGUAAACUGUUUCUGGACUGAUAUUAUACAAAAAAUAGAGCAAAGAAAUGACUGUUCAGCAAGAAGGAUUCUAAUUUUUCUUUAGAAACUGCAAAACACAAAUAUUGUGAAAAUGCAGAAGUUAUUAACUGCUGGAUAGUGGCUACCCAUACUUAUUUUUCAAAAUUACAGGCUGUCUCUCCUUCCCUUUCCACCCCCUCAGACAUACUAUGUCUGGCUAGGAGGCUAAGCAAGUAUAUUUACUUGCUGUGGAAUCUGACCUGUAUGACUUUUUAUUGUGUUUCUCCUGCAUGUGGAAACACUUUUGCUCUUCCUGGAAACUAGCGUUACUUGUUCUACAAUGUGCUGAGUUUCUCUUGCUUUAGAGAGCAAGGCGUAGAGCUCCUCUUACAAUUUUGCAGUUCCUUUGGGCUAUAAAGUAUACUGUCCCUCUUGAUAUCAUAGUUCCUUGCUUUAUUGAAAUAAUAGCAAAGGGACAAUGAAACUAUUUGUACUUCUCUUUGGAAAAACAAAACAAAACCGUAUAUUUUCUUGUAUUUGUUGUACAGAGGAAUUGAUAUCUUAUAUAAAGGCACAUAUCUUACCCAAGGUCAUUUUAAAACUUUCAGACAAAUCUUCUGUAAGUCAAAAGCACUUCUUCUUCUUCUAUUUACUUUCUCAAUUAAAGGUAAGAUUAAUUAGAAUUAAUGAAUGUUCAUUUGAUUAUUAUUUUUUUAAUAAACCAAUGAGACUUCAGGGCUGGAAACUCACUUUAUAGUAACUUUUGAUUAGGGACUGGGAAGGUGGAUAAUGAAAAAGUGAAACAUUGAAAUUUGCCUAAAUAACAUGCUGUUACAAGCCUUAUGAUAGAUAUGUGUUUGACUUAACAGCUUUUGGAACCUAAUAAAAAGAACUUAAUUGACAAUUUCUUGAAAUUGCUAAGAAAACCUAGUGAUGUUGGUAGGGUAUAAUAAGGAGCUUCUCAUCACUGUCUUCAAGAUUGAGUCUAUACAAAAAAAAAAAAAGGAUUUAUCUCUGUGGUAACUCUAAGUAAUUGAUAUACAGACAAGGUUUGGUUCCAAUUUGCCAGCAAUAAAGUUGUAAUAGGGUUUUCUCUGCAAUUUUAGCCUUAAUGUGCUCAUUCCAAAGAGCGGUAUUUUUCCAAGCGAACAAAUAACAUCAGUAAAGCUUACGAUCAGUAAUAGCCCCACACUGAUGCUCGCAUUAAACUUGUUAAAUCAAUUCACUAGACACUUUCUAAAGUGGACUGUCUGUUUACUUUGACAUGCACCUUGUGAGGAUGAGGCCAUCAGUUACAUUUAUCUGAAUGAUCUUUACAGUUGAAAUUAUUCAGGUUUGAUUGUGGUUGCAAAUAUGGUUCAUAAUUUCCAAGCUUUGUUUUUGCCACCUUAAUUUUUCCAGGGCCAAGUAUUUACUAAGACAAAGCACAGUACGUAUGUUGUAUGCUUAGUGCCAUCCAAAUCCUAAAUGAGUCUUUUGCUGCAUAAUUAUAGUAGCUUCACCUAGUUGUAUAUUCAGUAUUAAUGUUUAUUGUACGCACCUCCACGAUAUUCUGCCUUGUUCUUCUAGGAUAAAAAAAUUAACAUAUAAAUAAUGUAGGAUUACAGUGUUUUGAAAUAAUUAGCAAAAUGUGAUUGGUACUAAAUGAGGAAUUAUUAAAGAUGCAAUUUAUAUGGAUUUUCUGCAUAAGAUAUUAGCUUGCAGGAGAUCUACAGUAGUUGGUUUGGCGUCAAAUUUUAGAGAGUUGAUAAUUUUAGAUUUUUCUUUUCAAUUAAGAGGCCAGUCCUAUGGCACCACUCCGUUGGCAGUUGCUACACGGAGGUAAUACAGUCAAAAUCCUAUGCGCACUCAGCUGCAAAGUGGAAAGCAAAGCAAUACGAGUAGGAACAAGAGAUAAUGCAGCAACAGUACUCGACACUUUCAGCGCAUGCCUGGCCAGUCCAACGUCACCCACUUGUCACAGUGCUACCCAUGAGGGAGAUGUGACAGCAGAAACAGCAUGAUAAUGUCUUGGAUCAUAGUUUGCAGCUCCUUCCAGCGCAUUAAACAGUGCAUGAGCACACUUCUAGCAAGAGCCCAUAGCACACUCCUCAUCAGAUCGCCUCAUGGGUCCUGAGGGCAGUAAUGAACACACACAGCCUCAGACUCCAAAAUUCAGUUCAGACCAGGGUUCAAAUCUCCUGGCAGCCAAAAUGUAGCCAGUCACCACAUAGGAUUAAGAGUUUUAACAGACAAAGAAAAGGAAGGAAUGGCAGUCAGUCACAACAGCCAGUCUUCUCUAUGGCGCAGUAGUUUGCAGCAAUAAAAUAUAAAACCAGGCAGAAGGCCUAUUCGGUGGUGGCGCCCGCCCUGUGGAACGCCCUCCCACCAGAUGUCAAGGAAAUAAACAACUACCUGACUUUUAGAAGACAUCUGAAGGCAGCCCUGUUUAGGGAAGUUUUUAAUGUUUGAAGUUUUAUUCUGUUUAAUAUUCUGUUGGGAGCCGCCCAGAGUGGCUAGGGAAACCCAGUCAGAUGGGUGGGGU